GCCUGGGUGGCUCAGUCGGUUGAGCGUCUGACUUCAGCUCAGGUCAUGGUCUCACGGUUCGUGGGUUCGAGCCCCGCGUCGGGCU
rfam:Felis catus isolate Cinnamon breed Abyssinian chromosome B1, whole genome shotgun sequence.